rnacentral:lncRNA from 1 species
CACGAUCGUUGCUCAACAGGUAUUUUUCUACCAUCUGCAAUAACCUGAUUUACCUAGCAGAGAUAAGAAAUAUAUAUGAAGUUCAAGCCUUUUUUCUUCCUAUCAUAAAAAUAAUACUUUUAACUUGAAUAAAUAAAAAUAAUAUUUUAAAUCCUCAAGUAUAUAUUUGGAUUUUAUUAAAGAAUCUUCUUUUUCUUGUUUUAUUAUUUUUCAUAUUUCCAAAAAUAACCUAAAGAAAAUAUAUCAUUCCAAAUAUAGGAAAACCGAAAAAGGCAAAACAAGAAAUAUUAAGGGUAAAAUAAUCAAUAAAAAGUUCAAAGGAUUACCGAGCGAGUAUAUAUAUAUAUAUAAGGUAAAAUAUCUAUAGUUUAAUGUAAAAUAAAAACCAGAUUUUAUGUCGGUUCAAAGGAGAAAUCCUUCUCUCGGGAGAACAUUAAACUCUUUCCAUGCCUAUAUUAAUUAUAUAUAUAUAUAUAUACACGUUCAGGUUUAACGUUUUACCAUUUAAGAUUCAUUUUAUACCUUCUUGUACAGUAGCAUAGUGCAGACUGAUAUCAUCAUAAUGAUGAUAAAAAGAAAAAAAAUAUAUUAUUAUUUCUAAUAAAUAUUUUAUAUAUAAAUUAUUAAUAUAGUAAAUCCAUUUCACAAUAAAAUAUAUUAAUACAAAAUAGAAAUGUUUCCUAUGCUUGAACUUCCUUGUCUUUUCCACACUAAUAGGUACUGGAAGAGGUGAACCUAGUAGGGGGUGUGAAAUUGUCUUCAAAUCAGAUAAAUGUUUCCCAUGCUUAACGUUUCUUUUCCUUUGUAAACUAAUAGGUACAAGAAGAGGUGAACCUAGUAGUGGGUGUGAAGAAACAAUGUGACAAGCUGAAAAGCAAUCUCCUUGAUAUCCAAUCUGUCCUUGAAGAUGCAGAUAGAAAACAAGUUAAGGAUAAGGCUGUAAGAAAUUGGGUAGACAAGCUCAAAGAUGCAUGUUAUGAUAUGGAUGACGUGCUAGAUGAAUGGAGCACUGCAAUUCUUAGAUGGAAAAUGGAGGAAGCUGAAGAAAAUACUCACAGCCGACAGAAGAUACAGUGUUCCUUCCUGGGAUCUCCUUGCUUUUGUUUCAAUCAAGUGGUCCGACGUCGCGACAUUGCCCUGAAGAUCAAAGAAGUUAGUGAAAAAGUGGAUGACAUUGCCAAAGAGAGAGCUAAGUAUGGCUUUGAUCUGUACAAAGGCACUGAUGAACUCCAGCGACUAACAACUACCUCCUUUGUUGAUGAAUCAAGCGUGAUUGGUCGAGAUGGUGAAAAGAGAAAUGUUGUAAGCAAGUUGCUGGCUGAAAGUAGUCACGAAGCACGGGACGUGGAUGUCAU